CAAAUAAAAGUAUACAUAUGUAAAUACAAACAUCAGCUUCAAAACCAGUUACUUUGGCCCACUGGGUUAUCAAUUAAACUAACCAAAAUGCUGCUAUACUAAGGAAAAGGGCACGUGUAGCAUCAGAAAUAAAAGGCGGCAGCAAUAAAUACAUACCUACAUAUACAAAUGUACAUACUUUCCUACAUUUACACGCAUAACUAUCUAGUAUUCAAGAUGCAAACGGUUGAGUAAAAGCUACACAGCUUUCAACCUGCCGCACGCACUGGAAAUCCGACUGGAUGGCUGUUGAAAGUGAAUUAGCGGUGGAAAUGUACGCAGCGUCAGCAUGCUGCUGCAGUACACACAGCGCUGCCCACGAGAUAACGAAUCGAUUGCAACGCCAGCAGAACAGUCAACGAGGCGCACUACACUAACCACCUUCACACACAGGGCACUGCUUGUAAUGCGCUGCCGACACGCAGCGCAUACCCAACACAGUCUCUAUAUAAGCAAUAAUUAUGCCGGCAAAGCCACGUUCGCUGUCAACGUCGCAGCAGCAUCGGGCAUAUUCCAUUCGCCGGGUAAUCGGCACUUCGGCAUUUGACGGCAGCAGCGACUGCUUGCUGUACGCCAACAAGUUAGAUUUUGUUUUCAUGACUUUUUCUUUACAUUUUGUUUGUUUGUUCCAUUUUGACUUCGGCAACAGCUGAUAGCUAGUGGUGGUGCUGCUGUUUUUGCUGUUUUCGUAGCUACUGCUGCUGCUGCUGCUAUUUUCGCUGCCGUUGCAGUAUCGGUCGUCGUUUAACAAGGAAAAGUGCCGCGACCUGAGAUUUAUUUAGUGUACAACUGUCGUGGAAAACAGACAUCGUUCGGAAGGUGCUUAACGAAACGUGCCGUGGCGCAGAAUUAAACAAUUUCUGGCUUGUCCUAACAUGCAUUCAGCUGUUGUACAUACAAACGAAUUUUUUUGUGCUUUGUAAAUGAAAUUGUGUAUAAAAGUAGAAAUUAGUUAAAUCUACGCGCAAAAAUAAGUUAAACGGCGUUUAGUGAAGUUCUUUGAAGUGAGUGGAGCAAAUAAAAAAGCAUCGUUUAUGGAAUAUUGUAGCGAAGUGCAUACGUGAUUGAAACAUACAGAGGAAUAAUUUUCCAGUCGGUUUAUCUUUUGUAGACUGCAUUGUGCCGUGAAGUUGGUGUAGCGAACGUGAGUGAGAGUGUUCAAAACAAAAUCAGGAGUUGAUAAAACAAAAAUAUUGAUUCCAGUUUAUGAAUGUUAAUUUGUAUGAAAUCAAUGAACCAUCAAAUUGAGACAAGCAGCAACAAUUCUUAAAUAUUGACUAGUUGAAAAUUCCAACCACGUAGCUGUAACGAGUGAAUGUGCAACAGGGCGUGUAAACAGAUGAGUGUAAGAGCGGCAAAAGUGUUAAAAAUUAGUGCGAAAAAUAAGCUGUUGAGGUAACGGAACCAAAAAAAAUAAACAAGCAGUUGUGUGGAAAAAAUACGAAAAUCAAAAAAGGAAAAUAAAUUUGCAUUAAACGAAUAUUCAAGUAAAACAAUAAUAAAGUUAGCGGUAAACUGAAAAUCAAGUGCAGAAAAACAGUUAAAAUGUACAAGAGAAAGGUUUGAAGUGCGGUAGGUGUUUUGUAGAAGUGACCAACGGCAAACUGAUGAAUUAAAUGUAAUUAAAAAUUAAAAAAAAUUAAAAUUAAUGAAAAAUUAAA